rnacentral:rRNA from 1 species
AGAGUUGAUUAUGGCUCAGGACGAACGCUGGCGGCGUGCCUAACACAUGCAAGUCGAACGGAGUAAGAAUUCGGUUUUACUUAGUGGCGAACGGGUGAGUAACGCGUGAACAACCUGCCUUUCUGAGGGGGAUAACACCUGGAAACAAGUGCUAAUACCGCAUAAGACCACAGAGCCGCAUGGCCCAGGGGUCAAAGGAGAGAUCCGCAGGAAGAGGGGUUCGCGUCCCAUUAGCUAGUUGGCGGGGCAACGGCCCACCAAGGCGACGAUGGGUAGCCGAGCUGAGAGGCUGAUCGGCCACACUGGAACUGAGACACGGUCCAGACUCCUACGGGAGGCAGCAGUGGGGAAUAUUGGGCAAUGGGCGCAAGCCUGACCCAGCAACGCCGCGUGAGGGAAGAAGGUCUUCGGAUUGUAAACCUCUGUCCUAUGUGACGAAGGAAGUGACGGUAGCAUAGGAGGAAGCCCCGGCUAACUACGUGCCAGCCGCAGC